rnacentral:rRNA from 1 species
UGGCGACCGGCGCACGGGUGAGUAACACGUAUCCAACCUGCCUCAUACUCGGGGAUAGCCUUUCGAAAGAAAGAUUAAUACCCGAUGUCAUAGUCCUACCGCAUGAUGGGAUUAUUAAAGAAUUUCGAUAUGGGAUGGGGAUGCGUUCCAUUAGUUAGUCGGCGGGGUAACGGCCCACCGAGGCGACGAUGCGUAGGGGUUCUGAGAGGAAGGUCCCCCACACUGGUACUGAGACACGGACCAGACUCCUACGGGAGGCAGCAG